GAACAGGCUCAAAUCCAGGAGCUGGAGAAGACCACGAGAAGCCUCCUGUUGUGAACUUCUGAUGACGGUGUUUUUGGGCACAGACCAGAUCUUCAGCACCACCUGUUUUAUGAGAACCACAGGAACAACUCCUCAGUAAGGCUGAGGAAGACUUGAAUUAAAAAGCCCUUCUGGGGAACUUAUGCCAAAACACUUUGGGCUGAUAUCUGGAAAACUCCUCGGCUGAAAAGUAAAUUUAGAGAAUGUUAAAUGUCUGCACAGAUUUCUAACUGGAGAUUCUCACUGCAGAGUGUUGAGGAUUGAUGAUUCUCAGCAUAUUGAUCAGGUCAUCCCCAAAAUGCUCGUGUUUUAGCUGUUCGCUAGCAGAAGCUGCUGUCGACAGGAAAGGUGAUGUUCCUGGGUGUCUCAGUUCUCGCAUUUUCCACUGUGACUUCCUAACUGGUGCUGAAGCUGUAUAUGCAGGGCGGACAGAAGAUGAUUGACCGAUUCCACGGCAAAGAAUAUGCUUUGCUAAAAGAUACCUUGGUCUGUUGCUUCCAUUAAGGAAUUCCCUUUCCAGUCUCCUUUAAAUUGCUACCAGCAUUACUACCCUAAUUGUGCCAUUACCCUAUCUCACAUGCCCUCUGCAUUGCUUUCAACUUUUUGUCUAUUUUAUUGUUCUAUCUAUUACUACUAUUCAGCUUUUCCCAAUGUUGUUUAAACAGAGAAGCAAGUUUUGCUGUAUCAUUCUCCAAAAAGGCAUUUUCAGACCAGGUGUGGGCUUCUUUUCACAUUGCUGAAGGAUUUGCUGUUAUGCUUCUGAUGAUUGCUCCAAAGCAGUUAUUUUUGCUUUUGCAAAUGUUUCUGUGCAAAAUAAACACUCGUCGUAAAUCUAAAAUUACA
rnacentral:lncRNA from 1 species